rnacentral:rRNA from 1 species
AGCGGCGGACGGGUGAGUAACACGUGGGUAACCUGCCUGUAAGACUGGGAUAACUCCGGGAAACCGGGGCUAAUACCGGAUGCUUGAUUGAACCGCAUGGUUCAAUUAUAAAAGGUGGCUUUUAGCUACCACUUACAGAUGGACCCGCGGCGCAUUAGCUAGUUGGUGAGGUAACGGCUCACCAAGGCAACGAUGCGUAGCCGACCUGAGAGGGUGAUCGGCCACACUGGGACUGAGACACGGCCCAGACUCCUACGGGAGGCAGCAGUAGGGAAUCUUCCGCAAUGGACGAAAGUCUGACGGAGCAACGCCGCGUGAGUGAUGAAGGUUUUCGGAUCGUAAAACUCUGUUGUUAGGGAAGAACAAGUACCGUUCGAAUAGGGCGGUACCUUGACGGUACCUAACCAGAAAGCCACGGCUAACUACGUGCCAGCAGCCGCGGUAAUACGUAGGUGGCAAGCGUUGUCCGGAAUUAUUGGGCGUAAAGCGCGCGCAGGCGGUUUCUUAAGUCUGAUGUGAAAGCCCCCGGCUCAACCGGGGAGGGUCAUUGGAAACUGGGGAACUUGAGUGCAGAAGAGGAGAGUGGAAUUCCACGUGUAGCGGUGAAAUGCGUAGAGAUGUGGAGGAACACCAGUGGCGAAGGCGACUCUCUGGUCUGUAACUGACGCUGAGGCGCGAAAGCGUGGGGAGCGAACAGGAUUAGAUACCCUGGUAGUCCACGCCGUAAACGAUGAGUGCUAAGUGUUAGAGGGUUUCCGCCCUUUAGUGCUGCAGCAAACGCAUAAGCAC